rnacentral:lncRNA from 1 species
GCCAGGCCAAGCAGGAGAUGAUGGAAUACCGACACCAGAUCCAGUCCUACACCUGCGAGAUUGACGCCCUGAAGGGCACUAACGAUUCCCUGAUGAGGCAGAUGCGGGAAUUGGAGGACCGAUUUGCCAGUGAGGCCAGUGGCUACCAGGACAACAUUGCGCGCCUGGAGGAGGAAAUCCGGCACCUCAAGGAUGAGAUGGCCCGCCAUCUGCGCGAGUACCAGGACCUGCUCAACGUGAAGAUGGCCCUGGAUGUGGAGAUUGCCACCUACCGGAAGCUGCUGGAGGGAGAGGAGAGCCGGUGAGGGGCCAGGCAGGAGCCCGAGUGGGAGGUGCGGGGUGCUGGGUGGUCCAUUUCUGUCCCCAGGAGGCUCGAGAUUACUGAUUACCUCAACAAGACCUGGAAACAAUUUUUUUUUUUUUUGAGAUGGAGUUUCGCUCUUGUCGCCCAGUCUGGAGUGCAAUGGCACCAUCUUGGCUCACUGCAACCUCCGCCUCCUGGGUUCAAGCAAUUCUCCUGCCUCAGCUUCCCGAGCAGCUGGGAUUACAGGCGCCUACCACCACGCCUGGCUAAUUUUUGUAUUUUUAGUAGAGACGGGGUUUCACUAUGUUGGGCAGCUGGUCUCGAACUCCUGACCUCAGGUGAUCUGCCUACCUCAGCCUCCCAAAGUACUGGGAUUACAGGCGUGAGCCACCGCACCCGGCGUGGAAACAAUUUUAUACAAGAGGCCACUGCUCUAUUAAUUGCAGAGAAUUAACCAAGGCCACCUGGGUAAAAAGCAAUUUAAUUAACAGC